CGGGGGGCGGGGGCGCCUGGGCGGGGGAACCGGGCUGCGGCGGGCGGGCCUCGGCUCGGACGUCAGGAGAGCGGCGGCGCCUGCGGCCGGGACGCGAGGCGGCCACAGCGCCCGCAGCCCGGGCGCCCCAUGUUGUUGGAUUUCCCAGGAUGCACCUCCCGCGCCCUCCGCCCGCUCGUCGCCCCGCCCCCCUCGGCGCCCCGCGCUGCUGGCUGCGGAUUCGGGAGCCGGGCCGGACGAGGGCUGCUCCGUGGACGCCCUAGCGGUGAAGAGAAGGCCUACGCGCCGGAGCACCCGCAUGGGUGCGGACAGGAGAGGGCUUGCCAGCACUGUGCCUGGAGUUCGUUACUCUGCGCUCCCGGGUUCUUUGAAGGAACUCAAACACUCGAUUCCCGCUUGUGAUUUCUUUCUCUGCGCCCCAAACCACAGACAAGGGACUGUUGCUUUGCAGUACUCGCUUCCUGCCCAAAGUUUGCUGGGCUUAGAGGAUCUGGUUCCUGCUUCCUGGGGGAGAUUUCUAUUCAAAUUGAUUCAAAUUCAAACGAAUUUUGCAGCCCUAGCUGAAUGGGCCUUUCCCAGGGGCACUUAUUAACUGUCCCCACCCCCCACCUUGGGGAUUUUCUUACUCUGGAGUUCAGAAUCUUCUAUCCCAAGAUAAAUACCGCCUCAUCAUUGAUUAGUCCAACUACCAUCUGGAUGACUUUAAUUACAAUACAUUCGAACUCACUAUGCACUUUGUUGGGGCUCUCUGCUCAAGAUGUUUAAUCUCUGCAAGACUCUACCCAAACAUUGCCUUAUCGGACUUCUAAGCUGUGUGGUAUAUGGCCUACCUCCUCCAUGUCCGGCUGGCGAAUCUUCCCACUUCUGAUUCUUCUCCCAGAGACCUCCCCCGACUCAGAUCAGAAGUCCCACCUUCCCUUUCCUGCCCAGCUACCAGACAUUAAAUCCUUAUUAAGUCAGAUCCAUAAGCGUAACAAUACCACAAUCCACCCUCAUACUCAGCUCUCA
rnacentral:lncRNA from 1 species